rnacentral:lncRNA from 1 species
GAAACCUCCAGAUGCCUGUGGCCCACUGGAGAGAUUACAGGGUUCCACACUUUGGGGAUGCUGGUCUAAGUGAGAAGAGGAGCCCUUGGGAAGCAAGUGAGAGCCCACAGGGACCCAAGGAUUCAUCCGGACUUUGUUAGCUCUUGCAUGAUUUUCUCAUCAAAAUGCCUACUGGGCUUUCCUGGAGGACUUCCCCGGAUUCCUCAGCCUGGAAUCUGCCUGCCGGUGCCGGUGGAGUGGCCUUGUUUACCAACACAUGGCAGGGGCAUAAGAUAUGGACAAGAUGCAGAAGAGAAAUCGAGGCAGUUACUCGGAGACAGACUGCUUCCUACGUCUGCCCACAUGGUCCAGCCGGAAGUGGAUUAGGGCUGCACUGAAAAUGAGGAAGAGAGGAUCUGCUGUAGCACCGAUGACGUCGCUAGGCUUUGUUCCCGGACAUGAGUGAGGGUCGUGCUAUAUACUUCACUUUGUUUUGCCUGAUGUUGCUCCCCAGAGUCCUCAUGAAGUAUUUCGUCUGGGUCAGUCGAGUGCACAGUCUUUUGAUGCUUUUUAUCCUGUUUGAUGCUUUUCUUAAACUGCCCUCAAUUGUUCAUAAAUAACCAUCAGCAGUCACAUCACCAACGGAAAGUCUCACAGCCGAAUAACUGAGGACUCCAUCAGUGCGGGUUAAAGAGCAACAGUAACUGUUUCGGCCAGGUCUCCUGCUGGUAAGAUUAAAAAUGUAUGCCCUGACCAGACACAAAAGGACAAACGCUGUAUGACUGCAGGGCUGAGGUGCCCAGAGUGGACAAGUCCAGAGACAGGAAGCAGAAUGGUGGUUACCAGGCACUGGCAGCGGGGAGGAACGAACAGCUAGUGUUUAAUCGGUACAGAGUUUCCGUUUGGGAAGGUGAGAAAGUUCUAGAGAUGGAUGGUGACGACUGUGCAGCAAUGUGAAGGUACUUAGGGCCACUGAACUGCACCCUUGAAAGUGGUUUAAAUGGUAAAUUUGGUUAUGUGCAUUUUACCACAAAACACAUCUCCUGAGGAAAGGCAAGGCCCUGUGCCACCUUAUGUGGCUGCUCAGAGAACAGAAGGGCCGUGCAAGAUUUCCCCUUCCUGAGAUGUCAAACUUGGUCUGAGAAGACUCUGGUUCCAGAGUAUUAGGGUCAAAAGGACUAGGGGCUCUCCAGGUCGCCUGGUUGUGCUGGGUAACGGAGUGGGGACUGAGCUGGGGAUCCAGCCACCAAGGAAGCUACUAAGUGGAAAUGCAGCUGGACAUCCUCAAGACAUUUAGUAUUUCACAAUACUGAAAGGAAUCAGACAGUGCUUAGAGUUAAAACUGGGAGGUAAGCAGUCCGGGAGGUCCUGUCACCUCAAGGGUGGC